rnacentral:misc_RNA from 1 species
AACCAUAGAAACCUGCGGAGUACCUGCGGAAGGAUCAUUAAAAAGAGUGUGUACCCCUCUGUAAAAUGAGUGGGUUACCUCCCGUCCUUUGUUGACCUCUUAGGAGGUUAUUUUGAACUUUCUGCUUCGGUGGGGUUAAACCUACCGGAACACCCUCAAAUUCUUAUCAUUUAAAAAUUGUUCAGUCUGAUUUUUGUUAAUAAAAACAAAAAACUUUCAACAAUGGAUCUCAGAUCGGAA